UCAAGUCAGCAUGGCCUUUAUAUCCUGGGCUACACACACGCUACAAUGGGAAGGGACAAUAGGUUGCGAAGCCGCAGGCGGAGCCAAUCCAGCAAAAACUUCCCUCAGUUCAGAUUGCAGGCCGCAACUCGCCUGCAUGAAGUUGGAGUUGCUAGUAAACGCAGGUCAGCCAUACUGCGUUGAAUACGUUCCCGGGGCUU
rnacentral:rRNA from 1 species